rnacentral:rRNA from 1 species
GAUGAACGCUGGCGGCGUGCUUAACACAUGCAAGUCGAACGAAGACAUCUGAGUGCUUGCACUUGGAUGGACUGAGUGGCGGACAGGUGAGUAACGCGUGGGUAACCUGCCUCACACUGGGGGAUAACAGUUAGAAAUAGCUGCUAAUACCGCAUAAGCGCACAGUUCCGCAUGGAACAGUGUGAAAAACUCCGGUGGUGUGAGAUGGACCCGCGUCUGAUUAGCCAGUUGGCGGGGUAACGGCCCACCAAAGCGACGAUCAGUAGCCGGCCUGAGAGGGUGAACGGCCACAUUGGGACUGAGACACGGCCCAAACUCCUACGGGAGGCAGCAGUGGGGAAUAUU